AACGAACGCUGGCGGCAUGCCUAACACAUGCAAGUCGAACGAAGUCUUCGGACUUAGUGGCGCACGGGUGCGUAACGCGUGGGAAUCUGCCCUUGGGUGCGGAAUAACUUCUCGAAAGGGAUGCUAAUACCGCAUAAUGUCGUAAGACCAAAGAUUUAUCGCCCAAGGAUGAGCCCGCGUAAGAUUAGCUAGUUGGUGGGGUAAAAGCCUACCAAGGCGACGAUCUUUAGCUGGUCUGAGAGGAUGAUCAGCCACACUGGGACUGAGACACGGGCCCAGACUCCUACGGGAGGCAGCAGUGGGGAAUAUUGGACAAUGGGCGAAAGCCUGAUCCAGCAAUGCCGCGUGAGUGAUGAAGGCCCUAGGGUUGUAAAGCUCUUUUACCAGGGAUGAUAAUGACAGUACCUGGAGAAUAAGCUCCGGCUAACUCCGUGCCAGCAGCCACGGUAAU
rnacentral:rRNA from 1 species